AUUGAACGCUGGCGGCAGGCCUAACACAUGCAAGUCGAGCGGAGCGGCGGACGGGUGAGUAAUGCUUAGGAAUCUGCCUGGCAGUGGGGGAUAACGUCCGGAAACGGGCGCUAAUACCACAUACUAUCAGACGAGCCUAGGUCGGAUUAGCUAGUUGGUGGGGGAAAGGCCUACCAAGGCGACGAUCCGUAACUGGUCCGAGAGGAUGAUCAGUCACACUGGAACUGGGACACGGGCCAGACUCCUACGUGAGUCAGCAGUGGGGAAUAUUGGACAAUGGGCGAAAGCCUGAUCCAGCCAUGCCGCGUGUGUGAAGAAGGUCUUCGGAUUGUAAAGCACUUUAAGUUGGGAGGCGAUACCAACAGAGUAAGCACCGGCUAACUUCGUGCCAGCAGCCGCGGUAAUAC
rnacentral:rRNA from 1 species